rnacentral:rRNA from 1 species
GACGUAGGGCGCGAGCGUUGUCCGGAUUUAUUGGGCGUAAAGAGCUCGUAGGCGGCUUGUCGCGUCGUCCGUGAAAACUUGGGGCUCAACCCCAAGCUUGCGGUCGAUACGGGCAGGCUGGAGUUCGGUAGGGGAGACUGGAAUUCCAGGUGUAGCGGUGAAAUGCGUAGAUAUCUGGAGGAACACCGGUGGCGAAGGCGGCAUCCUGGACCAAUUCUGACACUGAGGAGCGAAAGCCAGGGGAGCAAACGGG